rnacentral:rRNA from 1 species
UACGGGGGGAGCAAGCGUUAUCCGGAGUUACUGGGCGUAAAGCGCGGGCAGGCGGCUUCGCAAGUUCGAUGUGAAAUCUCUCAGCUCAACUGGGAGCAGCCAUUGGAAACUACGAAGCUGGAGUCUGGCAGAGGUAGGCGGAAUUCCGGGUGGAGUGGCGAAAUGCGUAGAGAUCCGGAGGAACACCAGAGGCGAAGGCGGCCUACUGGGCCAGUACUGACGCUGAGCCGCGAAAGCCAGGGGAGCGAACGGG